rnacentral:rRNA from 1 species
AAUGCCGGAUGAGUUAUAUAAGUGCAUGUUUAUAUAGGAAAAGUUGGGGAGACCUGACGCUGAAAGAUGGACUCGCGUCCCAUUAGCUAGUUGGUAGGGUAAUGGCCUACCAAGGCGACGAUGGGUAGCCGGCCUGAGAGGGUGGCCGGCCACACUGGGACUGAGACACGGCCCAGACUCCUACGGGAGGCAGCAGUGGGGAAUUUUGCGCAAUGCUCGUAAGAGUGACGCAGCGGCGCCGCGUGAAUGACGAAGGCCUUCGGGUCGUAAAGUUCUUUCGACAGGGAAGAAAAUGCCUAUAAGUAACUGUGUAUGUAUUGACGGUACCUGUAUAAGCAGCCCCGGCUAACUCCGUGCCAGCAGCCGCGGUAAUACGGAGGGGGCAAGCGUUGUUCGGAGUGACUGGGCGUAAAGAGCACGUAGGCGGUGUUGUAAGUCAUUAGUCAAAGACUAGAGCUCAACUUUAGUAAGGCUAGUGAUACUAUAAUACUAGAGUAUCAGAGAGGAUUGCAGAAUUCCUGGUGUAGCGGUGAAAUGCGUAGAUAUCAGGAGGAAUACCGUUAGCGAAGGCGGCAAUCUGGCUGGAAACUGACGCUGAGGUGCGAAAGCGUGGGUAGCAAACAGGAUCAGAUACCCUGGUAGUCCACGCUGUAAACGAUGGAUGCUAGGUGUUGGGCUUUUAAGUUCAGUGCCGCAGC